rnacentral:rRNA from 1 species
UUGGUUAAGUUAGAAAGGGCGCACGGUGGAUGCCUUGACACUAGGAGUCGAUGAAGGACGGGACUAACGCCGAUAUGCUUCGGGGAGCUGUAAGUAAGCUUUGAUCCGAAGAUUUCCGAAUGGGGAAACCCACCAUACGUAAUGGUAUGGUAUCCUUACCUGAAUACAUAGGGUAAGGAAGACAGACCCAGGGAACUGAAACAUCUAAGUACCUGGAGGAAGAGAAAGCAAAUGCGAUUUCCUGAGUAGCGGCGAGCGAAACGGAAUCUAGCCCAAACCAAGAGGCUUGCCUCUUGGGGUUGUAGGACAUUCUAUACGGAGUUACAAAGGAACGAGGUAGACGAAGCAGUCUGGAAAGGCUCGUCACAGAGGGUAACAACCCCGUAGUCGAAACUUCGUUCUCUCUUGAAUGUAUCCUGAGUACGGCGGAACACGUGAAAUUCCGUCGGAAUCCGGGAGGACCAUCUCCCAAGGCUAAAUACUCCCUAGUGAUCGAUAGUGAACCAGUACCGUGAGGGAAAGGUGAAAAGCACCCCGGAAGGGGAGUGAAAGAGAUCCUGAAACCGUGUGCCUACAAAUAGUCAGAGCCCGUUAANNGAAGAGGCGGAGCCGUAGCGAAAGCGAGUCUGAAUAGGGCGUUUAGUACGUGGUCGUAGACCCGAAACCAGGUGAUCUACCCAUGUCCAGGGUGAAGUUCAGGUAACACUGAAUGGAGGCCCGAACCCACGCACGUUGAAAAGUGCGGGGAUGAGGUGUGGGUAGCGGAGAAAUUCCAAUCGAACCUGGAGAUAGCUGGUUCUCCCCGAAAUAGCUUUAGGGCUAGCCUCAAGUGUUAGAGUCUUGGAGGUAGAGCACUGAUUGGACUAGGGGUCCUCAUCGGAUUACCGAAUUCAGUCAAACUCCGAAUGCCAAUGACUUAUCCUUGGGAGUCAGACUGCGAGUGAUAAGAUCCGUAGUCAAAAGGGAAACAGCCCAGACCGCCAGCUAAGGUCCCAAAGUGUGUAUUAAGUGGAAAAGGAUGUGGAGUUGCUUAGACAACUAGGAUGUUGGCUUAGAAGCAGCCACCAUUUAAAGAGUGCGUAAUAGCUCACUAGUCGAGUGACUCUGCGCCGAAAAUGUACCGGGGCUAAAUACACCACCGAAGCUGCGGAUUGAUACUUACGUAUCAGUGGUAGGGGAGCGUUCUAAGGACAGUGAAGUCAGACCGGAAGGACUGGUGGAGUGCUUAGAAGUGAGAAUGCCGGUAUGAGUAGCGAAAGACGGGUGAGAAUCCCGUCCACCGAAUGCCUAAGGUUUCCUGAGGAAGGCUCGUCCGCUCAGGGUUAGUCAGGACCUAAGCCGAGGCCGACAGGCGUAGGCGAUGGACAACAGGUUGAUAUUCCUGUACCACCUCUUUAUCGUUUGAGCAAUGGAGGGACGCAGAAGGAUAGAAGAAGCGUGCGAUUGGUUGUGCACGUCCAAGCAGUUAGGCUGGUAAGUAGGCAAAUCCGCUUACCGUGAAGGCUGAGCUGUGAUGGGGAAGCUCCUUAUGGAGCGAAGUCUUUGAUUCCCCGCUGCCAAGAAAAGCUUCUAGCGAGAUAAAAGGUGCCUGUACCGCAAACCGACACAGGUAGGCGAGGAGAGAAUCCUAAGGUGAGCGAGAGAACUCUGGUUAAGGAACUCGGCAAAAUGACCCCGUAACUUCGGGAGAAGGGGUGCUUUCUUAACGGAAAGCCGCAGUGAAUAGGCCCAAGCGACUGUUUAGCAAAAACACAGGUCUCUGCGAAGCCGUAAGGCGAAGUAUAGGGGCUGACACCUGCCCGGUGCUGGAAGGUUAAGGAGAGGGGUUAGCGCAAGCGAAGCUCUGAACUGAAGCCCCAGUAAACGGCGGCCGUAACUAUAACGGUCCUAAGGUAGCGAAAUUCCUUGUCGGGUAAGUUCCGACCCGCACGAAAGGUGUAACGAUUUGGGCACUGUCUCAACCAGAGACUCGGUGAAAUUAUAGUACCUGUGAAGAUGCAGGUUACCCGCGACAGGACGGAAAGACCCCGUGGAGCUUUACUGUAGCCUGAUAUUGAAUUUUGGUACNNCUGUAUUGAAAUUCUAACCUACGGGUCUUAUCGACCCGGGAGACAGUGUCAGGUGGGCAGUUUGACUGGGGCGGUCGCCUCCUAAAGUGUAACGGAGGCGCCCAAAGGUUCCCUCAGAAUGGUUGGAAAUCAUUCGUAGAGUGCAAAGGCAUAAGGGAGCUUGACUGCGAGACCUACAAGUCGAGCAGGGACGAAAGUCGGGCUUAGUGAUCCGGUGGUUCCGCAUGGAAGGGCCAUCGCUCAACGGAUAAAAGCUACCCCGGGGAUAACAGGCUUAUCUCCCCCAAGAGUCCACAUCGACGGGGAGGUUUGGCACCUCGAUGUCGGCUCAUCGCAUCCUGGGGCUGUAGUCGGUCCCAAGGGUUGGGCUGUUCGCCCAUUAAAGCGGUACGCGAGCUGGGUUCAGAACGUCGUGAGACAGUUCGGUCCCUAUCCGUCGUGGGCGUAGGAAAUUUGAGAGGAGCUGUCCUUAGUACGAGAGGACCGGGAUGGACGCACCGCUGGUGUACCAGUUGUUCUGCCAAGGGCAUAGCUGGGUAGCUAUGUGCGGAAGGGAUAAGUGCUGAAAGCAUCUAAGCAUGAAGCCCCCCUCAAGAUGAGAUUUCCCAUA